rnacentral:tRNA from 3 species
GCCGGUGUAGCUCAAYUGGUAGAGCAACUGACUUGUAAUCAGUAGGUUGGGGGUUCAAGUCCUCUUGCCGGCACCA